AAAAUUGCGCCGUAACUCUUCUCUCCCUCUACUGUUCCAACUCCUCCUCUACUCCGAUGGCGUCAAAGCAAAGGAGUCCUCCAACAACACCGCACCGGUAAUGUCUUUUAUUCCCUUUCUUUAUUGUCUUUGUGCUUUGAAAGAAAAAAAACAAAAAAACAAAAGAGAAGCAAAAAUAACAAAAAAAAACAGUAAAAAACGAAAAAAGAAAAGAUCCGAAUCUAUCACCUUCAAAACGUUCUCUUUUUCUCUUUGAUAUCUUUUUUCAGUGUUUUAGUACAAAUUUUGCUAACCUUCUAUCCUCUAUUUCUUUUUUUUUUUCUCUUAAUUUUUGUAACCCCCCUUACAAGAUUUUGAAUGGCUUUUUUAUAGCCAAAUCCGUUUACAAAUAGCUAUCCUCCCCAUUUUGCUUGCUGUUGUUCGUGAUUUACAGAUGCGCGCGAAGGGCCGAACGUGAGCGACGUGGAGGUUGCCGAACGUGGGGGCAACGUGCGGCACCCAAACUGCUGUUAGUCACUGCUUAGGGUUAGGCUGGGGUUUGGGCUUGUUCAGGUAUUGGGCCUGCAAUUUGGGUUACUGGGUUUAGUAAUUUGGGUUAUUGUAAAUGGGCCGGGCAAAAUUUGUUUAUUACA
rnacentral:lncRNA from 1 species